CCUUUCAAAAGGAAAAUAGGUACACGAAAGUUUCGUUUCGUGUUUAAAAGGGAAGCUUGGUGAAACUCCAACACGGUCCCGCCACUGUAAAUGCUGAGAUUUCUUUUUAGUGCCACUGUGAAAACGGGAAGGUGAAAGAAAUUAUAUGAAGCAUAAGUCAGGAGACCUGCCUGUUUUAACAACACUGA
rnacentral:ncRNA from 2 species